CACCACCCUUUUGCUAUUUCAUUCAGGCCCAAAGGUAUGAUCAUAACUCACCUUACCAGAUUUGGGACACUAUGGAAUAAAUGUCACCUUAAUUUUGGUAGAAACAUUAAAGUAAGUCAGCACAAUUUCUAAGCAGAUGGACUUUGAGUCUAGGGUUUGCAAAAGUUACAUUCUCCUUCAUUGUUUUAGGUAGAAUAGGAAAAAGGAGUCCAGAAUGGCAGUGGCUAAAAGGCAAGGAAGGGAAAAGCCUGCGAAAAUAGAACAAAGGAAGGUCCAAGGACGGGAGUGAGGACCUCAGGUAGAACAAACAGCAGUCCCGGCUAGCCCAAUUUACAUAGGGCAGGCCCAGGGAGGAGGAAAAAACAUAUAACAAGAAGAGCAGUCUCUCUCUCUCUCUCUCUCUCUCUCUCUCUCUCUCUCUCUCCCCGCCCGCUCCCCCGCGUCUUUUGGGUCAGCAUGCCCUCACACCUCGAGGAUGUAUUUUCCUUUAUUUUCUAAAUAAAACUGAGCUGUAACAUGGAGCUGUAACACUGAGAGUUGUGAUGCACCGAGGGCUUUAACGUCGGUCACUUCAAAUUUUUCUUGUGAGGAGACAGAACCAAGUAAAUUACACACUCCCCCUGACAACUGUAAUUGUAAUCACCUACAGAGAAGCAAGUAGAACUCCUUGUUCCUUUCCUAAAGAUCUGCAAUAACAGAUUAAUAAUAGCCUCAGCCUGUGAAUCCUGUUUCUGUAUCUGAUUGACUCAGGAGUCUCCUUUGAUAACCACAUGCCUGCAGAUGGUACUGUUCUGAGAAGAUCAUCAGCCUUAUCUGAGGACCUGCACUCUGGUCCUCAUACAGGUAACACCUGUACUCUGUCUCUGUGACUAGGCAGGGGUUUUAACAUCUUCAUCCUGGAAAAUUGGAGUCCUUCCCAUGGAAUGUGUGUGUUGAGCUUAGCAGAGACAGCCCUUUCCACUCUGGAGGUAAGACUGGGAAAAUUUGAGUCCAGAGCCCUCUGCUGCCUCUGGGCCCACUGCCUGUCCAAACACACCUGCAGGAGGAAAGAAGGACCCUGUUACAAACAAGAGAAGAAGAGGAGAUCAAAGCAGCUGCAUCAUCUCAUUAACCUUCACCCCCAGAGAAGAUGGCAAGGAAAACUUAGAAACAAACAAAAUCAAGCCACUCUUCCUGCCUUCAGUGGAGCUUCAAACCAGAGGAUGUUACCUGGAACACACUGGAGAGUCAUAACCUUGGAGGUCACUACAUGGUAGAAGCACCACAAAAACAGGAAUAAGAGAGUUUACAAAGGAGCAAUAUACCAGGACUGGAAUUGUUUGUCUGCUCUCUCAGGGGCAGGAUGGAGGAGCUGAUGAACAAAAGCAGCCGUUUCCAAGAAAGAACAAUGGCAUUCUCUGUGACCUGGAGCACAGCUGGUAACCCUGGAUCCUCAAACAUUAACUCCUUCCUGAAGACCCACAUUAACAUUUCCUCCAGCCACAUCUACAAUCUACAGCAUCUCAGACAAAUUGAACACCUUGCUUUUUUUUUUAAUUUAAAAAAAUUUUCUUCUAAUUGAAAAAAAAAUAUGUUUUUUUUAGCAUUAAAGAACAACUCCAGUAAAUUUAUAAAUGUCUAAAUACAUGAGGUUUGUUUGUUGAGAUUUGUAUCUGGAAUUACUAAAUACCCAUGUGACCAUGAGCUGCAGGAGGGUGAAGACUGGAUUUGCUUUGCUCCACACAGUUUGUCUGGCAUGACCCAGUGCCUGGCACACAGUAGGCCCGUGAUAAACAUUGUUAAUCAACUGACUGACAGUAGUUGAAACAGAAAGUCAUCAGUGGGUUGAGAUUGACUUGAAACAUUAACGGAAUCAGUCGGAUCAAAACAUAAAUGUGAUUUUUUGUGUGUCUUACUGAUUUAUUUCCUCUGUUUCCCCUCACAUAGCCCUGAAAACCUAUUUUAAAUCUCAUGAGGAGCAAUGACGUGUUCCACUGUGCCAUCUCAAAUCUCCUCCUCUGAAUUCAGGUUUCAUCUUAAGUGCAGAAAAAGUGAUGCAGGCUCACAGUAGAAAAGUAUAUUUUUGAAAAUACCCAAAUCUCACUG
ensembl:lncRNA